AUGCCAGAUAUAUUUAACUUAAAUAUGCCAGAUAUAAUUAAAUUCCUUAUGGGAUAAAUUUGGGAUGAAAAGAAGUUUUUAGGAUGGAACGCAUAAUGUCAGUCUCUUUGAGUAUAUUAACAGAGUCGUCAAAGCCAUGUAUAUAUAUAGACAAAUUGUGAGUGUAUAUAUAUAAAUUCAUUUUCUCAAUUUUUGUUUCUCUAUCUUCUCACUCUUUUAGGACAAACAAAAAUAUCUGUAUAUACAAAUAUGGCACACCCAGAUGUUAAUGUUUGUUUUCUUUAAGAUGGAUUAUGUAUUAACUUUCUGGCUGUCUAUUUUGAUUUUCAUAAUAUUCAAUCUUAAGUUUUUACAAUUAAUGGCUGAUAAAUGUUAAUGAACUUCUUUUGUAAUAUGGAAUGGUGACUUUUCAAAUGUUUGAUCUUCAUUCAAUGGAAAUUUGUUAUUUCUGCAAGUGUAUUGGCAGCUCUCAUCUUUGUCUCUCUCCCACUCAUUUCCAUUAUGGUUUGAUGAUAGAGGGUUCUGAAUUAGCAUUGCAAGUUAUCCGAUCUACUAGUGGAUUUUUCAGUUGUAUGGACCCCUUUUGAUUGCUUGGACAUUCAUUAUGAGCUCCUGUGCUUGGAGGGAUGCCAUAGCCUCCAGACUCGAAGAAGAAUGACCUUAUGUUUAUGAACUUGGACAAGUUUAGUGACUUCCAGAUCAAAAUUUGCGAGCGAAGAACCAUGUUGGCAAUCAAGAAGGGGAAAUUCUCUUCAGCAAAUUGUUACUUUCACAUUCUUUGGGUUUUGGGCUUUUAAUAUGAAGAUGGAUUCUGUGUUUUAAUAUGAAAUUGUGCAGUCCCAAAUAUGUUUUAAAGUCUAAAAUGGCAUAAAAGAACUUUUUCCAGGCUUUUAGUUGUAAUAACUUUUACAUAUGGCUCCAAUUUUAAGACUCAAAUGGAAUGCCUGAUUAAACUAUAAUGUUAUACUGUUUGAAUUCUUGUCA